rnacentral:misc_RNA from 1 species
UCACACACUACAUCUCCUUCA